rnacentral:ribozyme from 13 species
ACUAAAGAAAUACAAGACACACUAGAAAACGGAAUGAAUAACUUAGCUGGUCAUUAUUCCUCUCUUUCUUCUUCUUCUCCUUUUUCUCCAUUUCCCGCUUCCAAACCUUGCAAGAUAUUUUAUAUGGUAAAUGCACAACAAAAAAAAGAAAAAGUUACAAAAGAUGUGCUUCUUUUUAUUAUUUUGAGAUAUUUUUCUUACAUUCAAGAACAGUAAGAAGAACAAUAACAUUGGAUUUU